GAAGAACUCGCUUAUUAUACACAGCUCACAGGAGUGAUUGAAAUGCCUUCAACAAUUUAGUAGAUGGCAACAUAAUUCAGUUUAUGAGGGAUUGCCAUAUAUCUGUUUCAUGAGCCGAGCCCUAUAAUAAUAGUACAUAACACAAAUGUAUUAUCCCACAAAUAAGGAGCCAUAUACUAAAUUGCUGCAAAAAGAUAAAAAUCACAGACUAG